GGUGCAGCUCAGUGUGGAGGCCCUGGGUUCUAUCCCCUGCACCCCUUAAACUACACAGGACAAGUGCUGGGCCUCCGUUCCUCGCUGAACUACUGCAUAGGAUGCUUCCAUCCAAGUCCUGACUGACGUCCUGCCAGCCGCUGCUCUGCUGUCCUCGGGGACCUGGCCGUCCCCACCCUGCCUGCAGCUGCUUGGCCAGAAGGCACCAAGCUGCCGCCAGCAUCAGCCUCCUCCGCCUGGCUCCUCUCAGGCCACAGGCCUGGCCCCCCACUUGUCCGCAUGCCUCGUGGGGCGGGGCUCUGCUUUCCCGCCUGCCCCGAGUCUCCAGGGACAGAGGGCGGUGAGGCAGGGGACUUGGUGAGCUGCUCCUCUCUUCCCACACCCGCCCGUCUGAGGCCAAGAUGGACGGACGGACGGACGGAGGUGGAUGUGCUCGGAGAAGGUGGUGGGUUUGCCAAGAGGUGUUCCAUGGCCAGACUGCGCCACCUUCUGGACAAAGAGGGAACAGGCGAGGGAGCAAAGAGCAAGAAGCUGGCUGGACGCUCGUCCAUGGUCCGUGAGCCAAGUCAGUGUUCCACCAAGUCACAAAGCAGAGCAGCAGCACCCAGCCCCGCUCCGCUCCGACGACCUGCGUCAGCCUUGGCCCUCGGGAGAUCCGAGGAACGUCUCGAGUCCCCUGGGGCAGGGGCUGCUUCUUAAUACCAGGCUGGAAACCUGGACAUGCAGCGUCUGGGGCCCAGGAAUUCAGACACUCUGCUUUGUGUCCCUGAGCCCCGUGAAGGCUCCUGUCUGAAACUCCACAAAGCCGGACACAGGAGUCUGCAGAGACACGCUGUUUCUUUUUGUCUGCGCCUCGGGCCGGGCAGGGACAGGGUCCCAUCUGCGGGUCCCCAUCCGGCCUUCCACUGCUGCCGAAGAAGACACUGACGGACUGGAAAACCAGGGGCGGGGCACUGAG